GACGAACGCUGGCGGCGUGCCUAAUACAUGCAAGUCGAGCGGACUUUCAAGAAGCUUGCUUUUUGAAAGUUAGCGGCGGACGGGUGAGUAACACGUGGGCAACCUGCCUGCAAGACGGGGAUAACUCCGGGAAACCGGGGCUAAUACCGGAUAAUAUCUUCCUUCGCAUGAAGGAAGGUUGAAAGGCGGCGCAAGCUGCCGCUUGCAGAUGGGCCCGCGGCGCAUUAGCUAGUUGGUGAGGUAACGGCUCACCAAGGCGACGAUGCGUAGCCGACCUGAGAGGGUGAUCGGCCACACUGGGACUGAGACACGGCCCAGACUCCUACGGGAGGCAGCAGUAGGGAAUCUUCCGCAAUGGACGAAAGUCUGAUGGAGCAACGCCGCGGGAGCGAAGAAGGUCUUCGGAUCGUAAAGCUCUGUUGUCAGGGAAGAACAAGUACCGUUCGAACAGGGCGGUACCUUGACGGUACCUGACCAGAAAGCCACGGCUAACUACGUG
rnacentral:rRNA from 1 species